rnacentral:rRNA from 1 species
AACGAACGCUGGCGGCAGGCUUAACACAUGCAAGUCGAACGCCCCGCAAGGGGAGUGGCAGACGGGUGAGUAACGCGUGGGAACGUGCCCUUCGCUUCGGAAUAGCCCCGGGAAACUGGGAGUAAUACCGAAUACGCCGUAUUGGGAAAGAUUUAUCGGCGAAGGAUCGGCCCGCGUUAGAUUAGCUAGUUGGCGGUGUAAUGGACCACCAAGGCUACGAUCUAUAGCUGGUCUGAGAGGAUGAUCAGCCACACUGGGACUGAGACAUGGCCCAGACUCCUACGGGAGGCAGCAGUGGGGAAUCUUGGACAAUGGGCGCAAGCCUGAUCCAGCCAUGCCGCGUGAGUGAAGAAGGCCUUAGGGUUGUAAAACUCUUCCGCCGGAGAAGAUAAUGACGGUAUCCGGAGAAGAAGCCCCGGCUAACUUCGUGCCAGCAGCCGCGGUAAAAC